GGAGAGAUGGUCGAGCUGGUUUAAGGCACCGGUCUUGAAAACCGGCGUGGGUUUACGCCCACCCUGGGUUCGAAUCCCAGUCUCUCCGCCA
rnacentral:tRNA from 1 species